CACAUGGUAGCUCAGGGGUAGAGCAUCUGGCUCCCAACCAGAAGGACCGGGGUUCGAUUGCCCGGCCGGGUGA